CCUACGGGAGGCAGCAGUAAGGAAUAUUGGUCAAUGGACGAAAGUCUGAGCCAGCCAUGCCGCGUGAAGGAUUAAGGCCCUCUGGGUUGUAAACUUCUUUUAUCUGGGACGAAAAAAGGGUAUUCUUACUCACUUGACGGUACCAGAGGAAUAAGCACCGGCUAACUCCGUGCCAGCAGCCGCGGUAAUACGGAGGGUGCAAGCGUUAUCCGGAUUUACUGGGUUUAAAGGGUGCGUAGGUGGGCUUGUAAGUCAGUGGUGAAAUCUCCGGGCUUAACCCGGAAACUGCCAUUGAUACUAUAGGUCUUGAAUUAUCUGGAGGUAAGCGGAAUAUGUCAUGUAGCGGUGAAAUGCUUAGAUAUGACAUAGAACACCAAUUGCGAAGGCAGCUUACUACGGAUAUAUUGACACUGAGGCACGAAAGCGUGGGGAUCAAACAGGAUUAGAUACCCUGGUAGUCCACGCCCUAAACCGAUGGAUACUCGACAUCAGCGAUACACUGUUGGUGUCUGNGNGAAGNAUAGUAUCCNCCUGGAGACGAGCGCAGAGUUAGUUAAAGUUAAAGGUUAAAGUUAGUACGGCGUUGAGACGUUGCCGACGGACGACGACCGAGGGGAGGUUAGG
rnacentral:rRNA from 1 species